ACUGCAGGAUGUUUGAGCAUAUACCUGGGCCAUGUACUACUUAAAAGAAUGGCAAACUUUUGCAAACACGAGACCGAAAAUCCCGCUAAAAUCAGCGCCAAAUCAGUGGCAAAAACAUGCUAUAAGGGUGGUAAUAGAGGGUGAGGGGGGCAGACAAACUCAAAUUGAUGAAACCCGCAGUGGCAACGUCGUUGCCUGACACUGAUACUCACAAAUGUGUUUACCCCUCAAUCCACUUUACAUGCCACACGCACUCGAAAUGACGCUAAAUUCUGUUGAUUAGAUGCCCAGCUAACUCUUGAUGGCACCCAUGGCACAAGUGUGUCAUCAGAGGGAAAGGAAUGAAGGAAGGAGAAGAGGCAGGAGGACUGUAGCUGUGGUAUAUUUGCCUUUGCAUGUAAUUUUGCAAAUUCGCUUUACUUUGGCUUGUUUUUGUACUUUUUACAUAUGACCAUCUUGAAGUCAUAUUUUAAAGUUUGAAAAAUAUAUAACGAGGCCGAAAAUUGCAGCUUGGAAUGAUAGAUGACAUUAUAUUUAUGACUGAAACAAAUGAUACAGGCUAUUAAUGGAAGUUUGAUGAGCUUAUUUAGAUAUAAAGGGGAUUUGAAAAAGUCAACUUAAAUAUGGUAAAAAAGAU